AAUUCUUCAUACCAUACUCAACCCAAGCCCAUUCCAAUAAAAAAUACAACGCGUGCAACGACCCCACGCGUACGCGCUACCCUUCUUCUUCUUCAACGAACCAGUGAGCAAACCCGGACCUCGAGCCCAACAAAUAGCGUCCUCCUCUUCUCUUUCCUUAUCCUCUCGUACAAGAGCCGUUUGAGAAUAGUGACGUGUCGAAAUCUCCUUGCUCGAUCGUCCUUCGCUCAAAAUCAAUGGCUCCAUUCAAAAAUCCGUUGAGGAUUUGUACUAUUUUGAAGCUGGCAACCUUAAGGGAUUUUCUAAUUCGAAUUUGAAAUUCAAUCUCGUUUUCCCCCUAAGUUAUGCCCUGAACUCCCUCUAUAUAAACCCUUUUACAUUCAUUGAAGUAAAAAUAUAGGGAGAGGGGAAGAUAGUUCUACCAUUAGAAAGGGAAUUACAAUUACAAGUAAAAAAAAAAAAGAGUAGGAUUGAGGGCAAUAGUAUUCUGUUGCUAGAGUUUCUGGGUUAGCUGUUCGGUUCUGCCGGAAUCCCUCGUGUGGUGGUGAAAGCUUCAUAGUUAAGCUCGUGAUUCCAGUUCCCUGCCCCCGAAAAGGCAAAUUUAUACUUUGGGGGUGGUUGAUCAAUAUUAUGUGUCCUCUUGCUUGAGCAUUCUGUUGGAAAAUGGUAUUGAUAGAGCGCAUUAUAAUUCUUGUUCAUAUUGUUGACGAUUUUAGUUAUGUAAAACCGGUUAUUCAGUGGAAUUUUUUGACAGAAUGGGGGCUCACUUUUGUUUGUUUUAUUAGUCUAGAUUCACACCCAAAUCUUUGAUGUGUUUUGAUGUUACUGUACUAAUUGAAGGCAUUUGAACCUUACAGUGAUGUCUCUAAUUUCGUAUCUUGUUUUCUCACUCUAGAAUAAUAUUACUAUAGCUAGAAUGCUUUAGAAUGAUACCUUGGCUUUUGUUCAAAAUUACAAAGUUACGUUCUCCGUAAAGUUUCAUUUUUUAAGUCUAGUUUUUUUUUUUAAUCGAGGAUGUUGCAAUCAGCUUCUCUUACUGCAUUUUCAGCAUCUAUCUUCAUCUGUUCGGUUUAUUCUCUCAUUGUAUCAGUUGUAGUUCUUUAUUUUCUUUAAAAAUGUUUCUGUGGGGUGCUGUUGUUACUUCUUGCUGUGAUGUGAAGUAAGACCAGCGAUAUUAAGUUGUAGAGGAUAAUAUUUUUGCUCUUGAUUCAUACUCAGUCAAAGUCUCUUUGUUUAGUUCGGGUGCUUCUCUAUGUAGCGAUUUGUGAUAUCUAGUUUGAUAUCAACACUUUAGAAAUCUAUCAUUUCAUGCUUUAGUUUA